UACAGAGGUCUCAAGCGUUGUUCGGAUUCAUUGGGCGUAAAGGGUGCGUAGGCGGUUUGGUAAGUCUCGUGUGAAAUCUCCGGGCUCAACUCGGAGCCUGCACGAGAAACUGCCGGGCUUGAGUGUGGGAGAGGUGAGUGGAAUUCCUGGUGUAGCGGUGAAAUGCGUAGAUAUCAGGAGGAACACCUGUGGCGAAAGCGGCUCACUGGACCAUAACUGACGCUGAUGCACGAAAGCUAGGGGAGCAAACAGG
rnacentral:rRNA from 1 species